GGGUUGUGAGGUUAAGCGACUAAGCGUACACGGUGGAUGCCCUGGCAGUCAGAGGCGAUGAAGGACGUGCUAAUCUGCGAUAAGCGUCGGUAAGGUGAUAUGAACCGUUAUAACCGGCGAUUUCCGAAUGGGGAAACCCAGUGUGUUUCGACACACUAUCAUUAACUGAAUCCAUAGGUUAAUGAGGCGAACCGGGGGAACUGAAACAUCUAAGUACCCCGAGGAAAAGAAAUCAACCGAGAUUCCCCCAGUAGCGGCGAGCGAACGGGGAGCAGCCCAGAGCCUGAAUCAGUGUGUGUGUUAGUGGAAGCGUCUGGAAAGGCGCGCGAUACAGGGUGACAGCCCCGUACACAAAAAUGCACAUGCUGUGAGCUCGAUGAGUAGGGCGGGACACGUGGUAUCCUGUCUGAAUAUGGGGGGACCAUCCUCCAAGGCUAAAUACUCCUGACUGACCGAUAGUGAACCAGUACCGUGAGGGAAAGGCGAAAAGAACCCCGGCGAGGGGAGUGAAAAAGAACCUGAAACCGUGUACGUACAAGCAGUGGGAGCACGCUUAGGCGUGUGACUGCGUACCUUUUGUAUAAUGGGUCAGCGACUUAUAUUCUGUAGCAAGGUUAACCGAAUAGGGGAGCCGAAGGGAAACCGAGUCUUAACUGGGCGUUAAGUUGCAGGGUAUAGACCCGAAACCCGGUGAUCUAGCCAUGGGCAGGUUGAAGGUUGGGUAACACUAACUGGAGGACCGAACCGACUAAUGUUGAAAAAUUAGCGGAUGACUUGUGGCUGGGGGUGAAAGGCCAAUCAAACCGGGAGAUAGCUGGUUCUCCCCGAAAGCUAUUUAGGUAGCGCCUCGUGAAUUCAUCUCCGGGGGUAGAGCACUGUUUCGGCAAGGGGGUCAUCCCGACUUACCAACCCGAUGCAAACUGCGAAUACCGGAGAAUGUUAUCACGGGAGACACACGGCGGGUGCUAACGUCCGUCGUGAAGAGGGAAACAACCCAGACCGCCAGCUAAGGUCCCAAAGUCAUGGUUAAGUGGGAAACGAUGUGGGAAGGCCCAGACAGCCAGGAUGUUGGCUUAGAAGCAGCCAUCAUUUAAAGAAAGCGUAAUAGCUCACUGGUCGAGUCGGCCUGCGCGGAAGAUGUAACGGGGCUAAACCAUGCACCGAAGCUGCGGCAGCGACACUAUGUGUUGUUGGGUAGGGGAGCGUUCUGUAAGCCUGUGAAGGUGUGCUGUGAGGCAUGCUGGAGGUAUCAGAAGUGCGAAUGCUGACAUAAGUAACGAUAAAGCGGGUGAAAAGCCCGCUCGCCGGAAGACCAAGGGUUCCUGUCCAACGUUAAUCGGGGCAGGGUGAGUCGACCCCUAAGGCGAGGCCGAAAGGCGUAGUCGAUGGGAAACAGGUUAAUAUUCCUGUACUUGGUGUUACUGCGAAGGGGGGACGGAGAAGGCUAUGUUGGCCGGGCGACGGUUGUCCCGGUUUAAGCGUGUAGGCUGGUUUUCCAGGCAAAUCCGGAAAAUCAAGGCUGAGGCGUGAUGACGAGGCACUACGGUGCUGAAGCAACAAAUGCCCUGCUUCCAGGAAAAGCCUCUAAGCAUCAGGUAACAUCAAAUCGUACCCCAAACCGACACAGGUGGUCAGGUAGAGAAUACCAAGGCGCUUGAGAGAACUCGGGUGAAGGAACUAGGCAAAAUGGUGCCGUAACUUCGGGAGAAGGCACGCUGAUAUGUAGGUGAAGUCCCUCGCGGAUGGAGCUGAAAUCAGUCGAAGAUACCAGCUGGCUGCAACUGUUUAUUAAAAACACAGCACUGUGCAAACACGAAAGUGGACGUAUACGGUGUGACGCCUGCCCGGUGCCGGAAGGUUAAUUGAUGGGGUUAGCGGUAACGCGAAGCUCUUGAUCGAAGCCCCGGUAAACGGCGGCCGUAACUAUAACGGUCCUAAGGUAGCGAAAUUCCUUGUCGGGUAAGUUCCGACCUGCACGAAUGGCGUAAUGAUGGCCAGGCUGUCUCCACCCGAGACUCAGUGAAAUUGAACUCGCUGUGAAGAUGCAGUGUACCCGCGGCAAGACGGAAAGACCCCGUGAACCUUUACUAUAGCUUGACACUGAACAUUGAGCCUUGAUGUGUAGGAUAGGUGGGAGGCUUUGAAGUGUGGACGCCAGUCUGCAUGGAGCCGACCUUGAAAUACCACCCUUUAAUGUUUGAUGUUCUAACGUUGACCCGUAAUCCGGGUUGCGGACAGUGUCUGGUGGGUAGUUUGACUGGGGCGGUCUCCUCCUAAAGAGUAACGGAGGAGCACGAAGGUUGGCUAAUCCUGGUCGGACAUCAGGAGGUUAGUGCAAUGGCAUAAGCCAGCUUGACUGCGAGCGUGACGGCGCGAGCAGGUGCGAAAGCAGGUCAUAGUGAUCCGGUGGUUCUGAAUGGAAGGGCCAUCGCUCAACGGAUAAAAGGUACUCCGGGGAUAACAGGCUGAUACCGCCCAAGAGUUCAUAUCGACGGCGGUGUUUGGCACCUCGAUGUCGGCUCAUCACAUCCUGGGGCUGAAGUAGGUCCCAAGGGUAUGGCUGUUCGCCAUUUAAAGUGGUACGCGAGCUGGGUUUAGAACGUCGUGAGACAGUUCGGUCCCUAUCUGCCGUGGGCGCUGGAGAACUGAGGGGGGCUGCUCCUAGUACGAGAGGACCGGAGUGGACGCAUCACUGGUGUUCGGGUUGUCAUGCCAAUGGCACUGCCCGGUAGCUAAAUGCGGAAGAGAUAAGUGCUGAAAGCAUCUAAGCACGAAACUUGCCCCGAGAUGAGUUCUCCCUGACUCCUUGAGAGUCCUGAAGGAACGUUGAAGACGACGACGUUGAUAGGCCGGGUGUGUAAGCGCAGCGAUGCGUUGAGCUAACCGGUACUAAUGAACCGUGAGGCUUAACCUUACAACGCCGAAG
rnacentral:rRNA from 1 species